AUAUACACAGUACUAUAUAUAAAACAGAUAACUAAUAAGGACCUACUGUACAGCAUAGGGAACUCUACUCAAUACUCUGUAAUGUCUUAUAUGGGAAAAGAGUCUAAAAAAGAGUGGAUGUAUGUAUAUGUAUAACUGAUUCACUUUGCUGUACACCUGAACCUAACACAACAUUGUAAGUUAACUAUACUCCAAUAAAAAUUAAAUAAAAAAGUAAGCAAAAGGAGACAGGGAAAGAGAAAAAAAGAACAAAAAACAGAUGCAACAAAUAGAAAAGAGCUACCAUUAAACGUAAAUAGUUAAAAUGUACCAAUUAAUAAGUGACAUUGUCAGAUUGGAUAUAAAAGCAAAACUCAAGUAUAUACUGACUGUAAGAAAUCCAUUUUAAAUAUGAAGACAUACAUAGGUUAAAAGAUACUAAUAAAAAAAAAACCGGAGUGGCUCCAGUGCAUGGCCAGUUGCCAAAGAUAUAGAAGAACAUUACAGUUCUCCAUGAAGCUAUCACAAUCCUACAUGUGUGCAUGGGCUUCAGAGUACAUGAAGCAAAUGCUAACAAAAAUGAAAGGAGAAAGACACAUUCAUUAUGGAUGGAGACUGCCACUUUUCCCUUAGGAAACGACAGAACAAUUAGAAAAUCAGCAAAGAUAUAGAAAACUGAACUAUGUUAUCAGAGACCUUGAAUCAAUGGACAUUUAUGGAACCCAACAACAGCAGAACACACAUUCUUUUCAAGACCCCAUGGAAUAUUCACCAAGGUGGAACAUAUUCUUAGCCAACCUUCACAGAUUUAAAAGAAUAGAAAUCGUAAAAAGUUUGUUCUCAGACCAUAACUAAAUAAAACUAUGUACCCAUAACCAAGAAAGAUAUUUGGAGAAUCCUCAACUAUUUGCAAUUUAAACAGUGUGCUUCUAAAUAAUCCUAUCGGUCCCUAAUCCCUGUCCACCACUGUGAAGGUUAAUGUUAUGUAUCAACGUGCCUGGGCUAGGGGAUGUCCAGAGAGCUGGUACACAUAAUGUCUGGGUGUGUCUGGGAGGUGGUCCUGGUAAAGAUUAGCAUUGGAAUUGAUAGACUGGGUACAGAGAACUGCCCUCACCAACAUGGGCAGGCAGCAUCCGUUCCAUGGAGGGAUCGAAUAGCACAAAAGAGCCAAGGAAGGAGGAAUUUGCUCUCUUUGAGCUGGGACAUUGAUCUUCUCCUGCCCGCAGACAUCGGUGCUACUGGUUCUUGGGCGUUUGGACUCAGACUGAAUUACACCACUGGCUUUCCUGGUUCUUCAGCUCGCAGUUGGCAGAUGGUAGAACUUGGCCUCCAUAAUUAUGUGAACAAAUUCCUAUAAUAAAUCUCCUCUUAUAUAUGUAUCUGUAUGUAUCCCAUAGGUUCUGUAUCUCUGGACAUCCCUGACUAAGAGAACUACUCAUCUGUUUUCCAUCUCUAUAAUUUUGUCAUUUCAAGAAUGCUAUAGAUCUAGAAUUAAACAGAAUGCAGUCUUUGGGAAUUGGUUUUUUCCCUUCAGCAUAAUUCCCUUGAGAUCCACCCAAGUAAUUGCAUGAGUCAUAGUCAUUCAUUUUUAUUGCUGAGUAGGAUUCUGUGGCAUAGACGGUAUGUUGAACCAUGCACCCGGGAAAGACAUUUGGGUUGUUUCCAGUUUUUGGAUAUUACAGAUAAAGCGGCUAUAAACAUUUGUGUACAAGCUUUUGUGUGACCAUAACUUUUCAUUUUUCUGGGAUAAAUGCCCAGGAUUACAAUUGCUAGGUUAUAUGGUAAGUGAUGUUUCCUUUUAUAAGAAGCUGCCAAACUGUUUUCCAGAGUCACUGAACCAUUUUUACAUUCUCACCAGCAAUACAGGAGCAAUCUGGUUAUUCCACAUCCUCUCCAGCAUUUGGUGUCGUCAGUUUUUAAGAUUUUAGUCAUUCUGACAGGUGUGUAGGGACGUCUUACAGUGGUUCUAAUGUUGACCAUCUUUUCAUGUGCUUAUUUGCCAUCCAUAUAUCCUCUUUGGUAAAAUGUCUGUUCAUGUCUUUUCCCAUUUUUUAUUUGGAUGGUUUGGAGAUUUUUUUUGCUAUUGAGUUUUGAGGGGUCUUUGUAUAUUUUAGAUGUAAGUCCUUUGUUGAUAGGUGGUUUUCAGAUAUUUUCUCCCAGUCUAUAACUUGUCUUUCCUUCUUUCUUCCUUCCCUCCCUUCCUGUCCCCCCCCCUCUUUUUCUCUUUGCAGAGCAGAGGUCCAAGUUAUUAAUUUCAUCUUUUUGGGGGGAUCAUUCCAAUCCCAAAAGACUGCAUUCUCUGUAUGAUUCCAGUUAUGCAACAUGCUGGAAAUGACAAAAUUCUAGAGAUGAACAACAGAUUUGUGGUUCUAUUAGUCAGGGAUCUCCAGAGACACAGAACAAACAGGAGACAUAUAUAAGAACUCUUGGGGCUUCCCUGGUGGCGCAAUGGUUGAGAAUCUGCCUGACAAUGCAGGGGACACGGGUUCGAUCCCUGGUCCGGGAAGAUCCCACCUGCCACGGAGCAACAAAGCCCAUGUGCCACAACUACUGAGCCUGUGCUGUAGAGCCUGCGAGCCACAACUACUGAGCCUGCAUGCCACAACUACUGAAGCCUGCACGCCUAGAGCCUGUGCUCCGCAACAAGAGAAGCCACCGCAAUGAGAAGCCUGCACACUGCAAUGAAGAGUAGCCCCCCCUGUGCCGCAACUAGAGAAAGCCCGUGUGCAGCAACGAAGACCCAAUGCAGCCAAAAAUAAAUGAAUAAAAAAAAAUAAAUUUAUAUUAAAAAAACCCAACUCUUCACCUACCUCUAGGUCCAUAGUUGUGCAUUUUACAUUUACUUUAUGGUUAAUUUUGAGUUAAUUUUUGUAUAAAUGAGGUUUGGGUUUAAGUUUUUGUUUUUUUUUUUGCUUAUGGAUGUCCACUCACUUCAUCACCAUUUGUUUGAAAAGACUAUCCAUCCUCUAUUGAAUUUAUUUUGUUUCUCUGUCAAAAUCAUAUUUUGUGGGGUUAUUCCUGGGUUCCAUAUUCUGUUCCAUUGAUCUCUGUGUCUAACUCUCCGUCAAUACCAGGUACUGUGUCAGGAGCUCUACAUUCAUUACUUACAAGUCUUACACCAGCUACAGGAUUUUUGCUCCAACUUUACAGAAGAGGAGGUGAAACUCUGGUACCUAAGUGACUCCAAGCCAAAGCUGGAGCUGUGAUUGAAAAGCAGGUGUCUUGGUGCUGGAGACACAAAGAUGAGAAAGACAGGACAUCUGGCUUCAAGACAUCCAGGAUCUGGCCAGUGAAGAACAGGAGCCUCCGAAGGGUGGUCCUUGUCAUCCUUCUCCUCUCCCUGCUCCCACCCCCACGGCAGCCUUGGCUGUGGCUCACCAGGGCCUGAGAACAACCUCCAGCGGGCCUGACAUAGAGUCCCUGGCUGCGCGAGAACCUUGCAUCCUUGCGCCUCUGGGAAAGAUCAGACUUGCUUUAUGAGGAUUUGCUUCAUGAGACCUCGAGGUGCAAAGCAAUGGCAGCCCUGUCCCCUCCACAAACGCAAGGAAAGUGACCCUUUCCCCACAAAAACGUCCCGAGAGACAAGACUCUGAGCGGACUCAGGUUAUCAGGAAGCCGGCCAUUUCUUCUGGAUACGUGUCCUCUCAUGCAUCAGACGCAGCCCUGGGGGACGGUGUUGAGGGGGGCUUCUCGGAGAGCAGAAGCAGGCUGUCACGCUGGCUGACCAAGAGGUUCCCUCCCCAUGUCCAGGGGGCAGGACAGGUGCCUGGGGCUUUGUUUUCCUUCUCUUCUGCAGGAGGAUCGAUGAAGGCCGUGUCCUGUUCUGACACCACCCAUCAGAAGCCUGCAGGUCCACAGGGAGCCUGGGGCAGCCUGAGGGAGAGACGGCACUUCAUAUGGAGAUGGGGGCUGGGCUGAUUCAGGAGUGGGGGAGAUGGCGGCUGGGGGUGCUCCUGGGGCCACUCUUUCUGUGGCUUAGACACCCUGGGGAGGCCUGGGGACCUGUGUCUGUGCCUCCUGCUCCCUCAUCUCUCCAGGCCCCGAUUUCCUCGUGAAAGACACUUGGCCAGUUCUUUCCGUGUAGCUGAGCACAGCUGGCAUCUCUCUGGAACUGAGUCUCAGGCUCCAGAGCUGAUGGUCCUUGGGGUGACGCAGGUGUUGGUGGACAACUGGACUCUUGGGCAUUUGAUCAGCAAGACCCAGCUCUCUGAAUUCGCAUCCCCCUGCAAGGCCAGGACAGAGCUCACGGCCUUGAAGUUCCACACAUGGCUCCUGGUCACGUAGGGGCCCUUCGAGAUAUUCUUGGGUCAAGAACCAACAAUGUCAAAGAUGACACCCCUCGUCUGGUCCCUGGGCCCUGGGGUGCAGGGUCUGAGCUAAGAGUUUGGAUGCCCCCAGAGACUCUUCCUCUUCUCCAACAGUGAGGGGCCUUUGCAGGUGUGGCCCAGGCCUCCAGGGGCCAUGCUCGAGGCUACAGCAGGAGCAGCAAAGGAACGGGGCGAGCGGUUCAGCAAGGCUGCCUGCACACCACGCGGGGAGGCAAGUUGGCUCUGCACGCCCAGGCCGAGUGUGUCUUUUAGUGGCAAGCUGCAAGCCUAGAAGGUGGCUGAAGAGGAAGGAGGCUGAUUGCAAAGACAAUGCAGGGAAUUUGCAUUUUUUUGGCACUUUCUGGUUUCUACAAGCCUUCUUGCUACCAUGAGUUCAUCUGAUUCUUAUAAUGUCCAGUAACAGGUGGUGGACCUGAGCUUCCUGGAGAGCUGAUGAGGGAGGCUUUCCCCGAGCAUCAUCAUGAAUUCCUGGACCGAAGCAACUUCAUCAUGUUUCUACUCUUUCCAGUGGUGGUCCUCACUGUCCCUCUCGUCCUGUAGGAGCCUCGUCCAUCAGCCCAGAAGCCCUUCUGACACUACCCUCGCGGUUUUUGAAGAUGCCUUGUUUCUUCCAGGACAAGAUGCGAUAGGAUCUUUGUGCAUACUUCCUGCCCCAGAUCUGGCCAUGCUCUUAGACACCGGAGUUUGGGGGCGAACAGGACCUGCUUGCAGCAGGGGAUGGCGGCAGGGGCUUGCCUGGAACAGAAGGUGAGGAGGCUGCAGGCAGGAUGGAGGGGCCUGGUCAUCUCCAACAUUCCUGAAACGCCCCACCUGCCCCGGGGGGCCUGCCUGCCCCACAAUGUUGAGAGUGUGGUGUGUGUGACAACCAGCCCUCUUCCUGUCUGAGCCAUGUCGGGUUUUGGUGACCUGCGGUCGAAGGGGCUCUAACCUGCAACCAGGAAACCCUGUGAACGGACGGAAGCCCCGCACGGCAGGGAAGGGCAGGAAGGAAGAGGAUGGUUUCCCACUAUCUUUCCUCUCACUGAGCAUCCUUGGUCCUCGUAGGCAAGGAUGCUAUGGGGGUGGUGACCUUAGUGUCUGUAAAGAGCUUCCUGGGAGGCUCCCUGGGGGCAGAGUGCAACGCAGCUUGAAGGCACAGAGCUGGAGACUUUCUGGAAGGCGGAGUGAAAAGCCCCGGGCCAGGCCGAGGUCUCAGUUCAGCAGGGUCAGAAGGCUCCUGCCAGCUUUGGGGUGGGGGGGUUCUGGCACAGAACCAGGGCUCUAGGAGAGAAAGCCUCUGGGCAUGAAACUUCCUGGUGGCAUUUAGAUGGGGGGGGGACAGCAGCGUGCCAUCAAGUCAGCCGCGUGGCGCCAGGUCUGUCUCUCAGCAGGACCGCCCCCGCCCCGGCUCUUCCUCCUGUGGGGGCGUGGCCACGGCCAGGACCGCCAGACGCAUGCGCCACCCUCACCCAGGCAGCCCGGAACCUGACAUCCACGGGCGGUACACAGCGGCCCUGGGAGCAAGGCUGCUUCUCUCUCUGCGUUGAAAGAGAAUGGAUUUUCUCCUAAGGAGCACAGCACUGACAGCCUCACGCACCACCGCUUUUUAGGGAAUUAAGAACCUAACAGCUAACGUGGUUUAUUUCCAGAUGAGGACCCAAGUUGGUAAAGAACUCAUUUUUGCACUUUUGCUCUUCCCCAGAUGAGUGGUCAUUGCUGGUGAAAUAAAGAGGAGAGUCCAGAUGGAACUGCCUGGAAACAUCACAUCCUCUCCCUGAUUCAGAGCUGGCUCACUGAACCCCCACCCAUCACCUCACCCCCUUCUUCCUCCACUGCACUCAUUUCUCAGGCUGCUCUGAAGCCGGGAAACUGCAAGUAUAGAGCUCAGCCUUAGUAAGAUGCCAGCACGUGUCGAGGGAAGGUGUUCUUCCCAACUGAAAUGACAAAGUUUCAAGAAGAGAGGCAUUUGGUCCAGCCUGGAAUAUGGAUGUGAUGCCUGGAGCUGCAGCACCUAUUCUAUGACCAUAAGGCUGAAACCACACAAUAAGGAUGGUGGAGCAGGGAGAGGCUGGAGCCUGAGUACCUGAGAAUGCCUAGAGCUGAUGCACCAGCCCUGGACCACCUACCUCAGGACUCCCUGUUAGAGAAGCAGCUGCAGCAGCCAUUUUCUCCUUUGAGCCCCUUGCAUCCCAAUGCUAUUCUGAACUAUCUUCUUUUGGGGGCUAAUAUCAUGGCCUUCUGUGGUUGCUUCCAUUUUCUUGGCAUCAUAAAGGCUGAGAAGAGAGACUGAGUCUGUUCCCUGAGCAGGUUCCUGACGUCUUCUCAGCUUCUCCCCACCAUCCUCAACCACUGGGUAACAAUGGCAGAAUUGCUAGGAUCUGGUAUUUGCAGAAAGCCCCCGACAGCCUCUACCGUCGGGCUGGAAGGUAGGACAGUGCCCCACAGGAACCCUGGGGUAGGCUUCCUCUGGUGAUGGCUCCCCGGACAAUGUCUGCUCUGUUCCUCCUGCCCAUGGCAGGUCCUUUCAGGGAGAUGCUGGGCACUAAUGGUGGCCAGGAAGGGAGCCAGUCAAGGCCUUUAGGUUUAUCUUAGAAGCAACAUUUAAGGAUCAGGGGACAGGCCUGGCUUUGGGACAGGCAAUGUCAUUCCCAGGAGUGACUGAGGACUUCAGUGUGUGGAAGUGACCAUGGUGGUCACUUCAUAAUUAAGUGGUGAUGUCCUUACAUGUGUCAAAUGAAAAGAGACCAAAUGGGAGAGUGGGCGGAAAGGAAGAGGA